CGCGUACAAACCUACCUUUUACUGGGGAAGUCGCUGGAAACGGCGAAUAAUCCCGCAUACGACUUUUUGGUACACAUGUUUAGAAAGUGAAAGACUUCGGUUGGUAAAGAUGGUUGUGCGUCCCAUUAGCUAGAUGGUAAGGUAACGGCUUACCAUGGCGACGAUGGGUAGGGGGCGUGAGAGCGUGAUCCCCCACACGGGUACUGAGACACGGACCCGACUCCUACGGGAGGCAGCAGUAAGGAAUAUUGGUCAAUGGAGGCAACUCUGAACCAGCCAUGCCGCGUGUGUGAUGAAUGC
rnacentral:rRNA from 1 species